rnacentral:rRNA from 1 species
GUCAGAGAUGACUUCCUUCAGUUCGGCUGGCUAGAACACAGGUGCUGCAUGGCUGUCCUCAGCUCGAUGUCGUGAGAUGUUGGGUUGAGUCCCGCAACGAGCGCAACCCUCGCUACUAGUUGCUACCAGGUUAAGCUGAGCACUCUAGUGGAACUGCCGGUGGCAAGCCGGAGGAAGGUGGGGAUGACGUCAAGUCCUCAUGGCCCUUACGCGUGGGGCUACACACGUGCUACAAUGGUGGUGACAGAGGGAUAAUCCCUAAAAGCCAUCUCAGUUCGGAUUGUCCUCUGCAACUCGAGGGCAUGAAGUUGGAAUCGCUAGUAAUCGCGGAUCAGCAUGCCGCGGUGAAUACGUUCCCGGGCCUUGUACACACCGCCCGUCACACCAUGGGAGUUGGUUCUACCCGAAGGCGCUGCGCUAACC